rnacentral:rRNA from 1 species
CACGUAGGGGGCAAGCGUUGUCCGGAUUUAUUGGGCGUAAAGAGCUCGUAGGCGGCUCAGUAAGUCAGGUGUGAAACCUCCAGGCUCAACCUGGAGACGCCACCUGAUACUGCUGUGGCUAGAGUCCGGUAGGGGAGCGUGGAAUUCCUGGUGUAGCGGUGAAAUGCGCAGAUAUCUGGAGGAACACCGGUGGCGAAGGCGGCAUCCUGGACCAACACUGACACUGAGGAGCGAAAGCCAGGGGAGCAAACGGG